rnacentral:lncRNA from 1 species
CCAAAUCACUCAAAGGAAAGAUUUUGUUAUUUAAAAUAACAUAGGAUUACAUUGUAAUUUCAGUACAAGAUAUAAUUACAUUAUAAUUUCGGAACAAGGAUAAAAGAGAAAAAAAAAUCCCUAAAAAAAAAAAAUUGUAAUCUCAUAUAUCUUAUGUUAUUUCAGUGCAUCACAACCAUAAUCCAGACCUCUUCUUUACCCAUCCAAAUUAAUUAUAGAUGAAUCUCAAUGCGCUGGCCCUUUUAUAUGCCAUCAAACUCAUCACCGGUUCAAAUGUUACAGGUAUUGGCGUUACUGCAAACACCAACUGCACAGUUUUGAACGUGUGGAUCAG